UACGUAGGGUGCAAGCGUUAAUCGGAAUUACUGGGCGUAAAGCGUGCGCAGGCGGUUUUGUAAGUCUGACGUGAAAUCCCCGGGCUCAACCUGGGAAUUGCGUUGGAGACUGCAAGGCUGGAGUCUGGCAGAGGGGGGUAGAAUUCCACGUGUAGCAGUGAAAUGCGUAGAGAUGUGGAGGAAUACCGAUGGCGAAGGCAGCCCCCUGGGAUAACACUGACGCUCAUGCACGAAAGCGUGGGGAGCAAACAGG
rnacentral:rRNA from 1 species